rnacentral:rRNA from 1 species
UACGUAGGGUGCAAGCGUUGUCCGGAAUUAUUGGGCGUAAAGAGCUCGUAGGCGGUUUGUCGCGUCGAAUGUGAAAUCCCGGGGCUCAACCCCGGGUCUGCAUUCGAUACGGGCAGACUAGAGUUCGGUAGGGGAGUCUGGAAUUCCUGGUGUAGCGGUGAAAUGCGCAGAUAUCAGGAGGAACACCGGUGGCGAAGGCGGGUCUCUGGGCAGUAACUGACGCUGAGGAGCGAAAGCGUGGGGAGCGAACAGG